rnacentral:rRNA from 1 species
GAUGAACGCUGGCGGCGUGCCUAACACAUGCAAGUCGAACGAAGCACUUUCACAGAUCCCCUUCGGGGUGGAAGUGAUUGUGACUUAGUGGCGGACGGGUGAGUAACGCGUGGGUAACCGUGCCUCAUACAGGGGGAGUAACAGCUGGAAACGGCUGCUAAAACCGACAUAAGCACACAGCAUCGCAUGAUGCAGUGUGAAAAUAUUUAUAGGUAUGAGAUGGGCCCGCGUCUGAUUAGCUAGUUGGUGAGGUAAAGGCUCACCAAGGCGACGAUCAGUAGCCGGCUUGAGAGAGUGACCGGCCACAUUGGGACUGAGACACGGCCCAAACUCCUACGGGAGGCAGCAGUGGGGAAUAUUGCACAAUGGGGGAAACCCGUGAUGCAGCGACGCCGCGUGAGUGAAGAAGUACUUCGGUAUGUAAAGCUCUAUCAGCAGGGAAGAAAAUGACGGUACCUGACUAAGAAGCCCCGGCUAACUACGUG